UACGGAGGGUGCAAGCGUUGUCCGGAUUUAUUGGGUUUAAAGGGUGCGUAGGCGGGACUUUAAGUCAGUGGUGAAAGCCGGCAGCUCAACUGUCGAAAUGCCAUUGAUACUGGGGACCUUGAAUUCAGUUGAGGUAUGCGGAAUUGAUGAUGUAGCGGUGAAAUGCAUAGAUAUCAUCAGGAACACCGAUUGCGAAGGCAGCAUACUGGGCUUGAAUUGACGCUGAGGCACGAAAGUGCGGGGAUCGAACAGG
rnacentral:rRNA from 1 species